rnacentral:rRNA from 1 species
UGGUGGAGUGAUUUGUCUGGUUAAUUCCGUUAACGAACGAGACCACGGUGUGCUAACUAGUGUGCGCUAUCUCGUAUAGCGACAUGCUUCUUAGACAGACUAUUGCUGUCCUAGGCAAUGGAAGUUCGUGGCAAUAACA